GGCCGGAUAGUUUAAUGGAUAUAAUGCUUGCUUUGGGUGUAAGAGGUUCCGGGUUCGAGUCCCGGUUCGGCCC
rnacentral:tRNA from 1 species